CUGCGGGGAAAGCGACCUGUCCCCGCGCGGUGGACAGAAGGCGCCGGGUGCCCAGAGGGCGCUCAGCUAGAGCCCGUGGAAACGAACGAACGAACGCGAGGACUGACGGAGGUCGGCCCCGGCGCCUGGCUCCCCGGCUCGGGGGACUGACCGCGCGGCCGGAAGCUUCGGCGCCGGAACGUGCGAGCGGGGCGCGGGCGGCGGGGGCCGGCUUAGCGGGCGGACCGCAGCGGCGGCAUGGCGGGCCGGCGGGUGAACGUGAACGUGGGCGUCCUGGGCCACAUCGACAGCGGCAAGACGGCGCUGGCGCGCGCGCUCAGCACCACAGCCUCCACCGCCGCCUUCGACAAGCAGCCGCAGAGCCGCGAGCGCGGCAUCACGCUCGACCUGGGCUUCUCGUGCUUCUCGGUGCCGCUGCCCGCGCGCCUGCGGCCGGCGCCGCUGGGGGCCGAGCCCGAGCCCGAGCCCGGGGCCGAGCCGCGGCUGCAGGUCACGCUGGUCGACUGCCCCGGACACGCCUCCCUCAUCCGGACCAUCAUCGGCGGGGCCCAGAUCAUUGACCUGAUGAUGCUGGUCAUUGACGUGACCAAGGGGAUGCAGACCCAGUCGGCUGAGUGCCUUGUGAUUGGGCAGAUCGCCUGCCAGAAGCUGGUCGUGGUGCUGAACAAGACAGACCUCCUACCCGAAGGGAAGAGACAGGCGGCCAUUGAUAAGAUGACCAAGAAGAUGCAGAAGACCCUAGAGAACACCAAGUUCCGAGGUGCACCCAUCAUACCCGUGGCAGCCAGGCCUGGGGGACCGGACGCCCCUGAAACGGAAGCUCCACAGGGCAUCCCAGAGCUCAUUGAGCUCCUGACGUCCCAGAUUUCCAUCCCAAGGAGAGACCCCUCGGGACCGUUCCUCAUGUCUGUGGACCACUGCUUCUCCAUCAAAGGCCAAGGCACUGUGAUGACAGGGACCAUCCUCUCAGGCUCCGUCAGCCUCGGGGACAGUGUGGAGAUCCCCACCCUCAAGGUGGUGAGGAAGGUGAAGUCCAUGCAGAUGUUCCACACACCCGUCACCUCUGCUGUGCAGGGGGACCGGCUGGGCAUCUGUGUCACCCAGUUCGACCCCAAGCUGCUGGAGCGUGGCCUGGUGUGCGCCCCCGAGUCUCUGCACACGGUCCAUGCAGCCCUCGUGUCCGUGGAGAAGAUCCCGUAUUUCCGGGGAUCCCUGCAGACCAAGGCCAAGUUCCACAUCACCGUGGGCCACGAGACGGUCAUGGGCCGGGUGAUGUUCUUCAGCCCUGCCCCCGACGGCUUCGACCACGAGCCCGUGCUGGACUCCUUCGACUUCUCCCAGGAGUACCUCUUCCAGGAGCAGUACCUGUGCCCGGGCUCAGUGCCGGCCGAGACGGACGGUGGGGAGGCCGACAGGAGGGCGGGCCAGACCUCCGAAGGCCGCUGCCCCCGGCAGCAGUGGGCCCUCGUGGAGUUCGAGAAGCCCGUCACCUGCCCGCGGCUGUGCCUGGUGAUUGGCUCCAGGCUGGACGCGGACAUCCACGCCAACACGUGCCGGCUGGCCUUCCACGGCGUCCUGCUGCACGGGCUGGAAGAUAAGAACUACGCCGAGAGCGCCCUGCCCAGGCUGCGAGUAUACAAGCUGAAGCACAAGCACGGCAUCGUGGAGCGGGUGAUGGACGACUACAGUGUGAUCGGCCGCUCGCUGUUCAAGAAGGAGACCAACAUCCAGCUCUUCGUGGGGCUCAAGGUGCAGCUGUCCACCGGGGAGCUGGGGGUCAUUGCCAGCGCCUUCGGCCAGAGUGGCAAGUUCAAGGUCCACAUCCCUGGUGUCCGCAGGGGCAGGUGCUGUCCUUCCUGGACAGGUGUGGCAAGGCUGACCCGGGCCCUGCCCUCCUGGGACUGCCAUUCUGUUGGGGAAGAGGGACAGCGUGCACCAAAGAUGGAUGAAGUGAUCUCAGAUAAUGACCAUUAGCCAGCGUAAUCAGGGAGGGCUUCUCUGAGGACGGGACCUUUGGGCGAAGACCUGCCUGAGUGACAAGGAAGAGGCAACCAGGAAGAGAGUCGUGGGGCAGGACUCCAGGCAGAGUGACCCGGAAGGGCAGAGGCCCAGAGGAGCGAAAGCUCGCAGGACGGGGGCCUGGGCGGGAAGCGGCCUGAUGGAGCCUAGGCAAGUGGGGUCGCCCACACCCUGUCUGAGGGGCGAGUGCUGCCCAGCUCCAGCCCAUGGUCGCCUGUGGGACUGAGCACCCAGUGUGGCCAGAGGUUCCGAUUCUCCAAGAAAAGCUGGCGGUCUGGGUUUUUACAUGAAACCUCUUGAUUUUUUAAGUGGCCACGACCGGUUCAACUUUUUCUGAAACUCUUCAAGCCACAGAAAAUGUUUCUGGAGGCCAAAACCAGCGUGUGGGCCUCUAGUUUGAGACCUCGCUAGGAGCCGUGUCCUGCCUCCCAGGCUUCCUAGUCGGGAGGCCCUGGGCAGGUUGCUUGCCCCGUCUGUGCUUCAGUGCUUUCACCUGUGAAGCGGAGGCGACAGGGCCUACCUUGCAGCGCUGCCGUGCAGGGGGGACAGAAAAUGAGCAAGUACGUGAGCGAGUGCCGCAUAGGAAUGCCACGUGGCCAGAAGGACCGAGACGGAACCCGGAAGGCUUGACGUUGUAGACGGGGUGGCCAAGGAGGGCCUCGCUGAAGAGAGGGCGUCGGCGUAAAGGCCUGAAGGAUUUGAGGGAGUGAGACACACAGAUAUCCGGUGAAGUGAUCGAAGCAGGGCCAACAGCCAGUGCAAAGGCCCUGAAGGCCUGGCUGCUCAAGGAAUGACUAGGAGACAGGGCUUUCCGGCCAUGUGUGACCUUGGGCUGCGCAGCCUUGGGUGACUGACCCCAGUUGUCCUCAUCUGGAAGUGGGAACAUCACGACACCUACCCCUCCAGGGCCGUCUGAGGAGCGUGUAAAGCCAGGCACGUGGGGGACACGCGUGACAGAGACUCCCAUGAAGGGGAAGCAGUGUCCUGAUGUGAUGGGUCAGCGCAGUUUUUACAAAUGGAGAUGAGACCCUCUUCCUGGGUGCCUCCUGGUUUUCCCCAGCGACCCCCCUCCCGUGCCCAAGUUUUGACCGGCAGACCCAGGAGGUUGGUGGGAGAGGGGUGUCAGUGUCAGUCCCAGCACAGACUCAACCUUGCCUGUUACAGGAGACGGUGGGGGAGGGGAGGGGAGACCAGCAGCCCAGCACCUCCACCCCAGGCCCUGGCCCUCUGGCUCAGGCAAGCAGGAGAGACCAGUGGAAGGUGGAGGGUUUAUCUCACUCACCCCUCCAGGGAGGGGCCUUUAUGCCCAGAUCCAGUUUCUGGCAGGACUGGUUGGUCCAGGUGGCCCGAUAGAUGGCCAAGAUAAGGUCCGUGCAGGUUGGCUGGGCUGAGCGGAAGACCCACGCUGGGCUAAGACGGGGGAUGGCCCAGGCCCGGCCUGACUCAAGGGUGGCAGGGGGUCUGGGCCUGUCUUGUCCCAGCUGCUGGCACUUUUGGGGGCCACACGGGUGCCCUCUCUGGACCCCCUUCCCUGCCUGCAGUGAGAAGUGGCACAGAAAGAGGUGAUCCUGGGCAGGGGUGGUACAGGCCCAAGGUUGCCCAGGCUGGACGUGCUGCAGGUAAGGUUUGUACGGGCACAUGACGAGGUUCCAGAGCCACGAGCCAGGCAGACUGAGGUUGCCCGGGCGUGGGGUUGUUCGGGACCCCACGUUUCAGGUGAGCCCAGGCUUGGUUGUGUGUCAGACCUUCUGGAAGCCCCAGGGCUGGCUGGGCGAGCUCGUCCUCAUGGGCCGAUGGCGUCCUGCUGUCUGUAAAGUCACCACGCCCCAAAGAGUCCCUUCAUUAGACCCUUCCACCUGAGAGGUUUGAGUGUCACCUCUCUCCUGCCGGGACCCUGACCAAUAAACCUCUGGGGUCUCACAGCCCUAGGGAGCAGUUGUGGUCACCACACUUCCUAGGGAGGAGCCCCGUGGGGACGGCCAUGGAAGGAGCCCUUAGUCCCCGCAGACAGGACUUCCCUCAUCUCAGCACAGACCUUGAGAAAGGCAGCCCUCGGAUCUGCGUGAAAAAUGGGGUUUGCGUGCAGGAAGUAUUUGAAGGAAGUGGUCCCAGGGGACAAGGGCGGGGUGGGGGGCAUGAAGCCGGGCGAGGGGAAAAGCCAGCCAGAGGAGGUGCUGUGGACCCACCGUCAGUGGGGUGCAGACUCCACCGAGGCCAUCUGAGAAACCUCGAGGGACGUGCUGAGAACCGUCCACCCCAGGGACAAAAGGGGACAUAGCCAUAGGCUCCCCUCCCACCGCAUGGACAAGGUGAGGCUUACCCACCAGCCUUCGAACUUUAGGGUUCAUGUACACAAGUGCCCGGCAGGUCCUGCGGGCGUCCUCGCACUGGGUCAGAGCAGCUCUGGGCAAGAGCGAGCUGGGCCACCAGCCGGCAUCUGCACAGGUAGGCCGGUCACCACAGAGCCGUGGCUGGCCUGAGCUCGGCCGGGAGGACUUGAGGUGGGCCGCCAAGGUGCCCAGAACAGUUAAAAAGAGCGUGUAUUCAGGGGAAAUUCGAGGUUCAGUAAGGCCACAGAGCAGGAGAUGACUGCCGUUGGAAAGGUCAUUUCUAAGCACAGUCCCGAAGGAGGGGGACUCCACGCCACGCCACGCCGAGCCACGUGGGAAAGCACAGGGAGGUUAGGAGGUGGGGGGAGCCUAGAACCGGGGACGGGAGACUUUGCUGCGGUCUCUGCAGGAGGGACGGGCGAGGCAGGGCGAGCAGGCUGACCACUGGCUGGUUUGAGUAAUUUCAUGGGCCCUGGGACAGACGGGCUGCCGCAACUUGCCUGGUACCUGACCCCGGGUGACUCAGGCAGGGGGACGGUGGCCCAAGGGGGAGAACCCGAUGGAGGAGGUGCUGGGGCUGUGCCUUCUAGAUUGGUUGCUUUGCAUUUGAAAGUCACCCUCUUGGACCGGUGGGUGGGUUACACUCUGCGGGAAUCGGCCAGUCCUGGGAAGGGCAGUCCCUCCAGGGUCAGAGCAUCAAACCCAAGACGCGGUUCCUGCAGUCCACCCCUCACCCACCUCAGCUCCGCUCGUGGCCUCGGUGGCCCAGGGUGGCCCAGGGUCCGGUUCAGGGUGGGAGCCGGCCCGGAGCCCCGACAGGCCUUAACUAGCCCCUCCUGCUGCACCUGGUCCCGAAGCUGAACCCUUUCUGGAUUCGCCUCACCUUCGGCCAGCACUUGGGUGGCUCUAGGUUCGCCAGGUGGGGCGACCGGGGCGUCUCCGGGGCUCUGAGACCUUAGUCACCUUGCCCCUGUCAACAACUGCCCCGUGGUCACUGUCACCAGUUCGAGGGACAAGAAGCAGCCCCAGAGAAUUUCGAGUCCCGGAGACCCUCGUCCCCGGCCCUCCUCUCACACAGGUCCGAGCUGCGCCCCCCCCCCACCCGGCGUGGUGUGACUGCAGGUUCACAGGAGAGCUGCUGCGUCCCUGGCGUACCCCCGAACAAGGACCUCAGACCUGGCCAAGCCUCCGGUGUGGGGCAGGGCCAGGAGUUCUGCAAGGGGGUGACGUCGGGACGGACGGGCCUCCUUCCUCUGCCCGCGGGCUGUGCUCCGGUGACGGGGCCAGCACCGCGUCCACGGGACUGGACCCCAGCCCUCAGGAUGUCCCAGGACGGCUCCAGGGCUAGGCUGUUCCUCUUUAGGUCAGCUGCUUCUGAGUGACGUGAACUAGAGUGCGGCCAGUGGGCCUGUGGCUCUGUUCCCGUUGUCACCUCCUUGUGGUCAAAUGUCCCUGGUCUGAGGCAGCAUCGUGCAGGACACGAGGGUCCAGCU